ensembl:lncRNA
CCCUCUUGGAGCCUUUUAUUCUCCAUGCUGAACAGCCAUAGCUCUCUCACCCUGUCCUCGCAGGGCAAGUGUUCCAUCCCUUGGAUCCAUCCCAUGGACCAACAGGUCUAUGCCUCUCCUGUUCCCAGGACUCCACAUCUGGCCGCAAUACUCCAGGUCAUGUAAUGGAAAAGAAUUCAUUCUCCUCAUUUCCAGACUUUCAUAUAAUGUUGGUGAAAUGAUAAUAAUAAUAAUAAGAAGAAGAAGAACAAGAACAACAACAACAACAAUGUACUAACCUCUGUAAGUGGGCAAAUCAAUAAAUGUUAUUUGUAUUUCUGAGUGUUUAAGUAACAUUGUGUAACUUGCUUCUUUUCUCUUUUUUUUUUUCUUUCUUCCUUUUUUUUUUUUUUUUCCCCCUGCA